rnacentral:rRNA from 1 species
UGGGCGAAAGCCUGAUGCAGCAACGCCGCGUGAGCGAUGAAGGUCUUCGGAUCGUAAAGCUCUGUCCUCAAGGAAGAAUUUUGACGGUACUUGAGGAGGAAGCCCCGGCUAACUACGUGCCAGCAGCCGCGGUAAUACGUAGGGGGCUAGCGUUAUCCGGAAUUAUUGGGCGUAAAGGGUGCGUAGGCGGUCCUACAAGUCAGAGGUGAAAGGCUACGGCUCAACCGUAGUAAGCCUUUGAAACUGUAGGACUUGAGUGCAGGAGAGGAGAGUGGAAUUCCCAGUGUAGCGGUGAAAUGCGUAGAUAUUGGGAGGAACACCAGUUGCGAAGGCGGCUCUCUGGACUGUAACUGACGCUGAGGCACGAAAGCGUGGGGAGCGAACAGGAUUAGAUACCCUGGUAGUCCACGCCGUAAACGAUGAGUACUAGGUGUCGGGGGUUACCCCCUUCGGUGCCGCAGCUAACGCAUUAAGUACUCCGCCUGGGAAGUAC